rnacentral:rRNA from 1 species
UACGUAGGUGGCAAGCGUUAUCCGGAAUUAUUGGGCGUAAAGAGCGCGCAGGUAGUUAAUUAAGUCUGAUGUGAAAGCCCACGGCUUAACCGUGGAGGGUCAUUGGAAACUGGUUGACUUGAGUGCAGAAGAGGGAAGUGGAAUUCCAUGUGUAGCGGCGAAAUGCGUAGAGAUAUGGAGGAACACCAGUGGCGAAGGCGGCUUCCUGGUCUGCAACUGACACUGAGGCGCGAAAGCGUGGGGAGCAAACAGG